rnacentral:rRNA from 1 species
UGGGGAAUUUUGCACAAUGGGGGAAACCCUGAUGCAGCGACGCCGCGUGAUUUAGAAGGCCUUCGGGUUGUAAAAAUCUUUUCUAUGGGAAGAAAAGGACAGUACCAUAGGAAUAAGGACCGGCUAAUUACGUGCCAUCAGCCGCGGCAAUACGUAAGGUCCGAGCGUUGUCCGGAAUCAUUGGGCGUAAAGGGUACGUAGGCGGGUAAGCAAGUUAGAAGUGAAAUCCUGUAGCUCAACUACAGUAAGCUUUUAAAACUGCUCAUCUUGAGAUAUGGAAGGGAAAGUGGAAUUCCUAGAGUAGCGGUGAAAUGCGCAGAUAUUAGGAGGACUACCGGUGGCGAAGGCGACUUUCUGGCCAUAAUCUGACGCGGAGGUACGAAAGCGUGGGUAGCAAACAGG